rnacentral:lncRNA from 1 species
GUGAAUCAACCAAACCGACUGCGAGAUUUUUAACCCAGCCACGGGGUGAAUCUUUUUCUUUUUUUGAUCGGGCCACGCGGUGAAUCUACUAUGGCGGAACAGUCCGAAGCCAAAAGGACUUUUUUCUCUUUUCUUUUCCGGACGCCGAUUGGACGGGGACGAAAUGAUCGAACAGACGGCGGUGGGUGUGGGGCUGCAUCACCAGGAGACAUGCGCAUUAAAUCCCUCUCUGCUAGCUCCUGUGAACGCGAGGGAACACGGCCACAGCCAGGCCCCGCUUCUAGGCCCAUCUGACUCAGCCCAGAUUGGACUGCGAGUCCAUUUAACUCAAAGGAAAAAAAAAGGCAGAGCACGCCUCUGUUUCCCACGAUCGAGUCCAUGAGACAAAGAAACAACGAUUAGAGCAAGCACGAUCACGAUUUCAGAGGGCGCCCACCAAUUCUCACUGUUGCAGGUUUGAAGAAACAAACAGGGGCUUGACUCCAACAGUACGGCCGUGUUGAUCUUGCGAUGGCGAGGAGAAAGGCGCUCUCGCACUGCGAAAUUAAGUGAUUGGUCUCGGGUCUCAAUCUUUGCAGAAAGAAAGAGUGUUUACGUGCAUGCAUCAAUGCAUGUCUUACGUCGUUGCAUUGAUUUAAACUCACAUGGACGUCACCCGGGUCCUCUACAUUUGGGUUUUGACCGCUAGCUUGAGUAUAAGUGUUCACUAGCACGGCAGGCAAAGGUAAGUACCACAGUAAAAAUAGAACUCGCAAUUAGUUUUUUCUUUUCUUUUUUCGGAGCUCUCGUCGCGAUACAUUGGCUGGCAAGUCUCCAUGCACCGUACUGGUAGUACAGGAGAUGGUGUAGCACUGUAGCUGCUUAUAGUGGAAAUCUAAAUUGGAAUACAAAAAAUUUCAAUGCCUCGUGAAUUAAUGGACGUUUCGAUCACAACUAGUGCGUGGUGGUAGCCUUCCAACAAAAAUGAGGCCGGGUUUCAAAACCUUUUGCUAACAUAUUUGCACUGUAAUUUUAACAUUUGACUCGUUGGUUGCGAGACUUGUCCUAGAGGCAGGGAAUUUGAUACUCUAUGAUUUUAUCGCUUGUUAUAGCAUUAAGAUCAAGAGAAGUUUUCGUUUACAAAAAAUAUUG